AUUUACUUCCUAGGAGCUGAGUGUGUUCUAAUCUGUUUUUAAGGGCUCUUGCUUUUUAGCAGGAGCGAGAAGAGUGUGGAUGCGUGCAUGCAAUUUGGGCCUCUUCAGCCAGGAUUCCAAAUAGCUAUUGACAACAGAGAAGCUGUCCCAGCCCCCAAGGUCAGGGCCAUUGCCCUUCCUGUUAUUUGCUUCUUGACGACUGGUCCACCCUGUAUGGACACCGUGUUACUGAGGGCUGUAGACAAUUGGCAGGCAAAGAACUCUAACAUUCUUGUGAAUACUGCACUCUUCUUUCUGAUCAGACGGACGGGCAGCAUUUUUUGCCUGGCAGCUACUUCAGAAGACAGCAUUCACCGGCAGCCUACAAUGUCCCCAGCACCCAGUGGCAGGGGCACUCGGUUUCUCAUCUACGUCUUUGAAAAAUCCAUGCAGAUCAUUUUCUCCGGGAGUAGGAUACCCUGGGCUUCAGAGGGUCGAAGAGGCAAGCUUAUAGGUGUAAGAGCUGAUCCCCUGGGAAAAGGUGUGAAUGCCACCUCAUGGUGA
rnacentral:lncRNA from 1 species